rnacentral:rRNA from 1 species
CCUACGGGAGGCAGCAGUGAGGAAUAUUGGUCAAUGGACGAGAGUCUGAACCAGCCAAGUAGCGUGAAGGAUGACUGCCCUAUGGGUUGUAAACUUCUUUUAUAUGGGAAUAAAAUGUUCCACGUGUGGGAUUUUGUAUGUACCAUAUGAAUAAGGAUCGGCUAACUCCGUGCCAGCAGCCGCGGUAAUACGGAGGAUCCGAGCGUUAUCCGGAUUUAUUGGGUGUAAAGGGAGCGUAGGUGGAUUGUUAAGUCAGUUGUGAAAGUUUGCGGCGCAACCGUAAAAUUGCAGUUGAAACUGGCAGUCUUGAGUACAGUAGAGGUGGGCGGAAUUCGUGGUGUAGCGGUGAAAUGCGUAGAUAUCACGAAGAACUCCGAUUGCGAAGGCAGUUCACUGGACUGCAACUGACACUGAGGCUCGAAAGUGUGGGUAUCAAACAGGAUUAGAUACCCUGGUAGUC